CUGUCCCCGUCAAGGCGAACGCUGCUGUAAAUAACGUCUCUUUCCUCUCGCUCGCUUUUUCUUUCGGACUCGCUGCGAUAGAACGACGGUUUUUUAAAUGUUUAAAUUAAUUCACGUGUCUGCGACAUUCCUCCCUCAUUUCGACCUCUCUCGGAAUCUCGAACGUCGACCGUCACGAGGCUCCGCACGCGGUGCGCGCUGGUACACAUGUGUUGAGUCGCGCGCGAAGAAAUAAUUCCUUCGACCGAUAACGGCGAUAACAUCUCCCGAACUCAUUGGUUCAUGAACUUGUCGAAUGACAAACAAUGAUAACGGCGGGUUAUCCGUGCGGUUCUGCUUAAUUGCGGUUUGUUGCGCUGCGAUUGCCUAGAAACAAAAUCGCUGCGUUGCAAGUAUCGUAUUCAAUAAAAUAACGUUCGUUUUAAUAACUCGCUCUAGAGUUUAUCACUCGCGAGAGAAAACCAGUGUGUAAAGGCGUAGAGAGAGACUAAAAGCCGUGCGGUAUGACGCCAAAGAUAGUCGUUGUCGGUUCAUGCAUGAUUGACUUUACCUGUUACUCCCCACGAUUGCCCAAACCUGGCGAGACGGUAGUCGGGACUAAAUUCGAAAAGAAUUACGGCGGCAAAGGCGCCAAUCAAUGUGUGACGGCUGCUAAACUCGGUGGAUCCACAGCACUUAUUGCUUCAUUAGGGUUUGACACGUUUGCUCAGGAAUACUUAGAGAUUUUCAAGAGAGAAAAUAUAGAUGCGUCUCGUGUGAAGAUACAAAGCGAUAAGCACAGCGGCAUUGCUCACAUUAUCGUUGCUGAAAAUGGUGAGAACAGCAUCGUUAUCGUAUUGGGCGCAAACGAAUCGUUGACUCCGGAAUAUGUGGAUUCCGCCGUUGACGUGAUCAAAAGCGCGAACGUUUUAUUAUGCCAGUUCGAGGUACCGCUGGAAACUACGCUGCGUGCGUUGAAAUUACAUCGGGGCCAUGGACUCUCGAUUGUCAACGGAGCGCCCGCGCUGGAGAACCCUGACCCGGAAAUUCUCAGACUGUGCGACAUUUUCUGCGUCAACGAGACGGAGGCGGAAAUUAUGACGGGCGUUCAAUCUGUGAAUCCAUCGAAUAUACAGCAAGUCACGGAUAAGUUCCUGGCUAAGGGAUGCAACGCCAUCAUCAUCACCCUCGGACCUCUCGGGGCUGCGUACGCGUCGAAGACGAACAGAUGCGUCACGCGGAUUCUUACUACCGAGGUCCACCCUGUAGAUACUACCGUCACGACCGCGAGGAUCUUCGAGUCUUUUUAUAUAAGGAUCGGAUGAUCGGACUCUGAGGAUUCGCCGCAUCUUCCAUGAAGGAGUCUCGCGCGAACCGCUCUCGCCGGCGUCAGGAAGCCUGAUGGUCAGACGGUCGGUCUGUAACGAAUGCUCCUCCUUCCGCAGAUAAACGCAUCGCGUCGUGGACAAGACUUUCGCACGGAAAUUCCCUUGUUUUAACCGCACGUAAAUUACGUAGCGCAUACAUUUCGCGAUUUAUUCGCGAUGUAAACGCACCGUCGGCGACAAUAGAACGUCUGUUCCCUUUGAAGCGGCUUCGACGCUCGGAGUACCCUCCAGGAGUCCUCGUCUUGAUUUAAAUGCGUACGAGGACUUUGGUGGCGCUGCAUCGUGCACUUGUAUGCGUGCUACUAGAAUAGCAAUGGUAAGUUAUUUUCAGGUGACACUUUGGAGAGGAGAGAGAUCCGUGCGAGUAGUGUCACUCAUAGACGUACGCUUACCGAGGCUCACGCCCGACUCUCGGGAGCCCGUUAAAAAUUUCAUUUCAGCGUCUCGAUGUGGUAUAAACAGUAUAACGCAUUAAGCUUUUUAAACGAGCUCCGUAAAAUUAUAAACACUAAGAAAAAGGUAAUACGAAAUUUAAUAAUUUCGAAGCCUUGUCAUUUUUAGAAAAAUCUUAAAUGACAGACGUUAUUUUUUUUCUCACAGAUAAAUCUUUAACUAAAGAUUCUAUAUUGAGUAAUACCAGCUCUAUCUCGACGCUAUCAAUUACUUUAUUAAGUAUACUCGUUUAACAUGAUAGUAAAAUGUCACUUUCGAGCUCA